rnacentral:lncRNA from 1 species
CUUUCAUACCUGCCUACUGAUGUAUGGACUUCAGAGUAGUGUGGCCUAUAUCGAUUUUCUAGGAUCAUUAUUUUGUUUGUUGUUUUUCUCCCUUCCUCCACCUAUUUUCUCUUCAUAGGACAUGAGGAUUCUCAACCUGAUAAAAAUGAGCUUUCCUAAUAACUCAAGACCCAUCUGCCUAGGAAUAAACCAUCCCAGCUGUGAGAGACCAGACGAAACCUGAGACCAGAGACUCGUUUUCUUCUAAAAUGCUUUCUCCAAAAGAUUUUUAAACAGAAAAAGGGGGAAAUGUGAAAGGAAAAGAAAACUUGAGGCCCCCAAAAUCACUAAGCUAAAAGGAAAAGUCAAGCUGGGAAUGGCUUAGGGCAAACCUGCCUCCCAUUCUAUGCAAAGUCAUCCCUCCGUGCACUGAGAUAAAUGCUUAUCUAAUUGCCUCCUUUGGAGAGGCUCAUCAGAAACUCAAAAUAAUGCAACCAUUUGACUCUCACCUACCUGUGACCUGGAAGAUCCCUCUCUGCUUGAGUUGUCCUGCUUUUCUGGAUGGAACCAAUGUUCAUCUUACAUAUAUUGAUUGAUGUCUCAUGUCUCCCUAAAAUGUAUAAAACCAAGCUGUGCCCUGACCACCUUGGGCACAUGUCGUCAGGACCUCCUGAGGCUGUGCCACAGGCAUGCAGCCUCAACCUUGGCAAAAUAAACUUUCUAAAUUGACUGAGACCAGUCUCAGAUAUUCAGGGUUCACAGUAUCCAAAAAUCCAAUCACAUCUGAAACCGCCUUUGCAAAAAUUAUCACAGUGAGAAAAUAAUGGCAGUGAAAGAAAGCUGAUCUAGCCAACCUCCCUCUUGCCUUUAGCUUUCAAGCUGCUUUUACUUAUUCCUGGGUUUAAGCCAAGCUACAUGUGGGAGUCAUUUAGUUGAUAGUUUAAAUUAUAAUAACCCUUCCCCGAAACUCAACCACCCUUGUAAUACUGAGAGACCACCAGGCUAGGAGGAGGAGAGGAGCCUAAAUUCUGCUAAGGUGUAGACAAAAACAAUUGUGAGGCGUUAUUCCAGAAGCCACAAGAUAUGCAACUUCCUCAGUUACCCCUGCAGAUAAUGUUACUUUUGUAGAACCUAGGAUUGGCCUUCUGAGAUAUCUUCUCAGGAUUUUGCAUGUCUGAUGACCGAUGGCUCCACCGGGACCAGCCAACGGCUUCUGUGUCCCCACCCAGAAGCGACUCAGAGAAAGAGGACAGCUUCGACACCCUAUGAUUUCAUCUCUGACCCAACCAAUCAGCACUCCCCAUACCCUAGCCUGCUACCUACCAAAUUACCUUUGAAAAAUCCCUAACCUCCAAGCCUUAGAUGAGUUUGAUUUGAGUAAUAACUCUGCCUCCCACAUGGUGUGGCUGGCAUCAUGUCAAUUAACCUCUUUCUUUACUGCAGUGCCAUGGUCUCCAUGAACUGAUUUUUUUGUGCAGUGGGCAGGAAGAACCCAUCGGGCAGCUACACAUCUUGAAAGAGAAGCUCUUCCUGUGAGGCUGCCGGGUGCCGUAUGGGAGCG